rnacentral:rRNA from 1 species
GAUGAACGCUGGCGGCGCGCCUAACACAUGCAAGUCGAACGAUUAAAGCACCUUCGGGUGUGUAUAAAGUGGCGAACGGCUGAGUAACACGUGGGCAACCUGCCCCCUUCAUUGGGAUAGCCACGGGAAACCGUGGAUAAUACCGAAUACUUCGAGACUUCCGCAUGGAAGACUCGAGAAAGCUCCGGCGGUGAGGGAUGGGCCCGCGGCCUGUUAGCUUGUUGGUGGGGUAACGGCCUACCAAGGCAAUGAUGGGUAGCUGGGUUGAGAGAGCGACCAGCCACAUUGGGACUGAGACACGGCCCAGACUCCUACGGGAGGCAGCAGUGGGGAAUCUUGCACAAUGGGCGGAAGCCUGAUGCAGCGACGCCGCGUGCGGGAUGAAGGCCUUCGGGUUGUAAACCGCUUUCAGCAGGGACGAGGCGAAAGUGACGGUACCUGCAGAAGAAGCCCCGGCUAACUACGUG